UUCUGAUCUAUAUGAUUGAUAUCAUAUGAUGGUUUUUCACACUUGAUUUUCACAAAUGCUAAUUCAGUACGAACACAUUGAUGUCAAUAAAAUUUGUUCGCAGCUAAAAUUAAUGAUUUUGUGAAUUUUUCAAAAGCGUCCGUCCUA